GUCAGUGGCCACAAGGUGGGCACAGCAGGUUGGUAAUUAAUCCUUAGUUUUUAGGGAGAGAUGCGCAUCCUAAGGGAAUUCUGAUGGGGGGGAGGUCCAUCCGUGUCUUUCAGGGCCUCGUUCUUGCCUUUGAGGCAUUCUCAGUGUUUGCGGAUGUACAAUGCAUGCUCCACAGGCCACAUCACGUCAGGCCCUUUUGGAAAAACAAGGUCAGCCCGAAUUAGUUUUGCUCCUCUUCUUAGAAGGACACCAGUCUGUGGCAUCAGGGCCCACCCGGACGGCCUCAGUGAACCGUUAUCACCCCCAUAGGCCCCAUCUCCAGGUGCAGUCAUGUUGGAGGUUAGGCCCUCCACAGGUGAACGUAGGGGGACAUGACUCAGCCCAGGACGGACGGGCUGGCCUGGGGGGGGGUGCGCGCCUGAGGAGAGGGGAGGGCCCAAGCUGGCCGGAAGCGGAGUGUCCACUGGCACUGGGACGUGUGCCCCGCUAGAGACCCUGAGAGCAAAUACGCCGGCCGCAGGAGGAUGACUUCUCUGCUCCAAGUGAACCCUGAAAACGCCUUCUGAUUUGGGGUGAAGCUGAAGAGAUCGGCGAGGACAGGCUGGACGCGGAAAUGCUGGCGGGCCGGCUUUGAUUGCUGGGCUUCAGGCUUUUAUGGUUUUAUGGUUUUGCUUUUCAAAUUUCGGUCUUUAAUCUGUGUGGGGUUUAACAUGCAUGUGGAGUAAGAUAGACCCCGAAUCGCAUCCUCUCUGUGUGGACCCCGCUGUUCCCGGUGCCAUCAGCAAGCCAGCCUUUGUACCCCCACUGUGGGACAUGCAGGAAGUUUAGCCCUGAGCUAACAUCUGCUGCCAAUCCUCCUCUUUUUGCUGAGGAAGACUGGCCCUGAGCUCACAUCCGUGCCCAUCUUCCUCUACUUU
rnacentral:lncRNA from 1 species